rnacentral:SRP_RNA from 1 species
UCGUGCUAGACGGGGAACUAGCGGUGCCCUGUACCCGAGAUCCGCUAUAGCGGGGUUGAAUUCCGAUUUAGAGGUUUUUGUCUUUCAGGACUGCUCCGGUCAAGUGGCGUUGAGGGCUGGGUCUUGCGCGGCGGAGGGCUACAAACCCCGUCAGGUCCGGAAGGAAGCAGCGGUAAGUAGCUUUACUCCGGGUGCCGCAAGGCUACCUGGUCGGAGCUGGCUAACCGGCGUAAGCUGGAGGGCAAAAUCGACGGUCGGUGCACGA